CCAAUGGAUGGCCAAUUGUUUCUCAUAAAGCAUCUUCUUAUCUUGAGGGAGCAGAUUGCACCUUUCGAUAUUGAGUUUUCAGUGACACACAAGGAACUUGACUUCUCUCAUUUGCUGGAUCAUUUAAGACGGCUACUUCGAGGUCAAGCCUCUCUAUUUGAUUGGUCUAGAUCUUCUUCCCUGGCGAGGACCUUAUCACCCAGAGUUUUGGAAAGUCAAAUAGAUGCUAAGAAGGAACUGGAGAAAAGUCUGAAGGCCACUUGUGAGGAAUUCAUCAUGUCUGUCACUAAGCUAGUUGUU